rnacentral:ncRNA from 1 species
GUAUUAGAGUGGACCCACAGCAGGCGCGCAAAUUACCCACUUUCAGCAAGAGGAGGUAGUGACGAAAAAUAACGAGACCGUUCUCAUAGAGGCCGGUUAUCGGAAUGAGUACAAUUUAAACCUGUUAACGAGGACCUAUGAGAGGGCAAGCCUGGUGCCAGCAUCAACCGGCAAUGAAUUUACAAAAAGAGGCAUUUUAUCAGCUUCUU